rnacentral:lncRNA from 1 species
UCUCAUAUCAAUGAUCAUUGAUUAUGAUCUCAUGAAAGCUUAAGUUCAACCAAACAACCUUGAUAUAUACAAAAUAUAGCAAAUUUGAAAGCGAAAGAUAUAUGCUAACUAUUUCACAGCCGAUGACCCUAUAAGCAAUUAGCGUUUUGCACAACAACAUCCGAUCCGACUUCCACCGGACGUGUUUUCUUGCUAAUCUGCACAUCCUAUCGGGUCGGAUCCCUUUCCGACGCUAUCCAGCUGUCACCGGAAGCGGUGCCAUCGCCCGCAAAUUCCAACAGGAAGCGGCCGCUUAUUAGGUCCUGGCAGAAAGAUCGCUGGCGUCGAGCCCCGCGACUCUCACUUCAUUCCCCUCACCCGGUUCUUUGAAGACCGUUCUACGCUUCUGUCAAUCGCUGCACCGGGAUUCCGUUCCAGAGGUUAGAACCUUUCUCCCUCUCUCUUCCGCCGUCUAUUCUCCCUCUUUUACGUCUCCGUCUCGUCUUCUUGCUCUUGCAUAUCUUCUCUCCUUUCAUAAACUGUGUCACCCUUUUCCCUCUUUCCGCUUGCCGUUCCCAAUCUGCCAUCUCUUCCCUCACUCUCUUCCUUCUGGUUCCUAUUUCUUGGUUGGGAUGUGGGGGGUUUCGCGAGGCUACAGCCGGGAGACGACGGCCAUGAUCGGCUCAAGGUCGGUUGGAAGGACCUUCCGGGUCGGAUCGAGAAUGGCUCCACCCGAGAAGAAUAUCGGAUCCGUUUUUACCUCAUUACAUCAGAUCCUAGCGGGCCCCUCCCUAAACGGGUAAGCGACGCUCCCUCGCUCCAAGUCCUGAUCCUAUCCGUCCGAUGACGCGUCCACAGUAGCUGUGAGGUCGAGGAGGGUUAGUUACCAGUCAGCACUUCAUCGCCUACGAUGGGCAUCUCUAGAAAUCGAGGCCCUUCUCGACUCUUCUCGUCGCUUCACGGCUCUCUGGCAAAUCAGAAAUCGAGGCCCUUCUCGACUCUUCUCGUCGCUUCACGGCUCUCUGGCAAAUCGCAUGUCUUUCCUCAUUCGUUCCGUUUUCCACUACCGUGCAUCCCAGCCGUUUCCAUCUUUCCACACCCGUCGCCAGCGUUGUGGCUGCCGUUUCUCGAUCGGCCCGCCUCCGGCCUCGGGACGCUUGGCGUCGUGGCAUUGUUUACCGACAGGCGGAUUGUCUCUGGCGCCUUAGCCGCAGGCUUUGCGAGUACGUGGGGCGUUAUUUGUCUGCGUUGGUGGCGGUGAGUUGCUGAAUCAUUACAGUGGCUUGGAUCGUUCCAUUUGAUGCCUUUUUUUGCACGGAAUCCUGGACCCUACUCCUCGUCUUCAAAUCUUUGCAUAUUUUGUCUGUUUUAGGAUCUUGGUGAUUGUUUCUUGGUAGUCUUCUUUUUCUUGGCUAAAUCAUUACAGUGGCUUGUCCUCUUUUUCUCCAUUGCCAUUCUUUCUUCGUAAGUAAAAUUGUCGCCUUUAGCAAUGUUGUGAGUCCGAAAGACUAAUUGAAAAGAUGAACUUGACAUUACUGUAAGAACCAUGAAGACGCAGCAAUUGUGCCCAACCAGCUAGAUGCUUAGUCUUUGGUAGAUCAUGUGCAUUUUGAUGCUAUUUUUCGCUGGAUUACGACAUCGACUAAAUGGCUCCGUCUCUCCAGGGUAAAUUUGCGAGCAGAAUUAUCAUGUUGGAUGGCCUUCAGGUGAGCAUGAAAACACUAUCGAUUUUUACCCCCGUUACCCCGCCCCACCUUUUUUUAAUCUAAUUUUGAAGUCGAGAUUUUGAGUAAAAGCCCCCGAGAAUAUAAAUUAAGCCUACAAUGUAGAAGUCUCCGCGUUGGAACUUAAGACGGCUAGUUCCACAAUAUAAAUUAAAGGAUCACUUUUAAACAUAAAACGUUACUUCGUGUACUUGGAUGACUUCUAAAGUAUCUUACACGGGUGACCUAACAAAUCUUUCUCAACCGUGGAGCUUGCUCGAGUCGUGGAAUACCACUAACAAAGGCAGAAGCAGUUGGACAACGAAAACAAGGACAAAGCAAAUGUUUACGACUAAAGCGAUACAUGCAUCCUAUAGGCCAAAUGGCGCACACACCGAUCGUUUACAACGGUUUAUAUAACACGUGACGAUUAAUUAAAAAAAAAAAUUUAAAAGACCUGCUGCACUGCGCCACACAAAUAUCAUCGCCUCCAUCCUACCUUAAUUGCCCUGUCUGCACGAGUCGUAAAAAUAACUACAUAGUAAUUUGAAAAUGAAAGUGCUAAAAGAAAAGGAUUAAAUUUCAUACCAUUUACAUCUCUGCCAAUUUCCCCCUUGCCACCAGCUUGGAUUAAUCGCUUUGUCCUAGACGAACUCAUCUCUGAUGGCAAUGAAUGACGACGGAUAAAACCAUUUUUGUCAUCUGACUCCGAUACAAUGGUGGGCGAUACCUGUCCCCGCAAUUUUGCCUUGGCAGAUUCUGUUGUUGACAUAUAGCUGGGAAGCACAGGAGCAUCUGAUUUUGCCGAGAAGGAAGACCUCC